rnacentral:rRNA from 1 species
UGACGGUACCACUUGAAUAAGCUCCGGCUAACUACGUGCCAGCAGCCGCGGUAAUACGUAGGGAGCAAGCGUUAUCCGGAUUUACUGGGUGUAAAGGGCGUGUAGGCGGGACAUCAAGUCAGAUGUGAAAGCACGAGGCUCAACCUCGUGUCUGCAUUUGAAACUGACGUUCUUGAGUGCUGGAGAGGCUAACGGAAUUCCUAGUGUAGCGGUGAAAUGCGUAGAUAUUAGGAGGAACACCAGUGGCGAAGGCGGUUAGCUGGACAGUAACUGACGCUGAGGCGCGAAAGCGUGGGUAGCAAACAGGAUUAGAUACCCUG